rnacentral:rRNA from 1 species
GAGUUUGAUCAUGGCUCAGAUUGAACGCUGGCGGCAGGCUUAACACAUGCAAGUCGAGCGGAAACGAAGAUAGCUUGCUAUCAGGCGUCGAGCGGCGGACGGGUGAGUAACGCGUAGGAAUCUACCUAGUAGUGGGGGAUAGCCCAGAGAAAUUUGGAUUAAUACCGCAUACGCCCUACGGGGGAAAGGAGGGGAUCUUCGGACCUUUCGCUAUUAGAUGAGCCUGCGUGAGAUUAGCUUGUUGGUGAGGUAAAGGCUCACCAAGGCGACGAUCUCUAGCUGGUCUGAGAGGAUGAUCAGCCACACUGGGACUGAGACACGGCCCAGACUCCUACGGGAGGCAGCAGUGGGGAAUAUUGCACAAUGGGGGAAACCCUGAUGCAGCCAUGCCGCGUGUGUGAAGAAGGCCUUCGGGUUGUAAAGCACUUUCAGUUGUGAGGAAAGGU